AGCGGCGGACGGGUGAGUAAAGCCUAGGAAUCUGCCUGGUAGUGGGGGACAACGACUCGAAAGGGUCGCUAAUACCGCAUACGUCCUACGGGAGAAAGUGGGGGAUCUUCGGACCUCACGCUAUCAGAUGAGCCUAGGUCGGAUUAGCUUGUAGGUGAGGUAAUGGCUCACCUAGGCAACGAUCCGUAACUGGUCUGAGAGGAUGAUCAGUCACACUGGAACUGAGACACGGUCCAGACUCCUACGGGAGGCAGCAGUGGGGAAUAUUGGACAAUGGGCGAAAGCCUGAUCCAGCCAUGCCGCGUGUGUGAAGAAGGUCUUCGGAUUGUAAAGCACUUUAAGUUGGGAGGAAGGGUUGUAGUUUAAUACGCUGCAACUUUGACGUUACCAACAGAAUAAGCACCGGCUAACUCUGUGCCAGCAGCCGCGGUAAUACAGAGGGUGCAAGCGUUAAUCGGAAUUACUGGGCGUAAAGCGCGCGUAGGCGGCUUGAUAAGAUGG
rnacentral:rRNA from 2 species